CAUGGCAGAAAAAGUACAAGAAAUAAAGAAAGUUUUCUUUUUAUCUACAAAAGUGGCGGCAGUAAUGAAAAGAUGAAGAAGGGACUAGUGUCCUUUCAUUAGAUAAAAUAAAUAUUGGAGCUUUAUGCUCCAUGAAUUGCUGGCGGCGAUCUUAAAAAGGAAAAGAAGAGAAUUAGGUUUCCUUCUUUAAUCAAAUAUUCUUUCUUAAAUUCUAAAAAUAAAUAAAUGGGAAAGGAAUGGAGAACAAUGGAGCUUUGUGCUCCAGCAAAG
rnacentral:lncRNA from 1 species